rnacentral:rRNA from 1 species
CGGCGAGUGAAGCGGGAAGAGCUCAAAUUUGAAAGCUGGCGUCUUCGGCGUCCGCGUUGUAAUCUCGAGAAGUGUUUUCCGUGCUGGACCAUGUACAAGUUCCUUGGAAUAGGACGUCAUAGAGGGUGAAAAUCCCGUACUUGAUGUGGCCGCCCAGUGCUUUGUGAUACACUUUCCAUGAGUCGAGUUGUUUGGGAAUGCAGCUCAAAAUGGGUGGUAAAUUCCAUCUAAAGCUAAAUAUUGGGGAGAGACCGAUAGCGAACAAGUACCGUGAGGGAAAGAUGAAAAGCACUUUGGAAAGAGAGUUAAAUAGUACGUGAAAUUGUCGAAAGGGAAGCGCUUGAAGUUAGACAUGCUAGUUGGAAUUCAGCCUUGCUUUUGCUUGGUGCAUUUUCCGGUUAGCAGGCCAGCAUCAGUUUUGCCUGUCGGAUAAGGGUAGGAGGAAUGUGGCCCCUCGGGGUGUUAUAGCCUCUUACUGGAUACGACGGGUGGGACUGAGGACAGCAGUGCGCCUUUAUGGCGGGCCUUCGGGCACCUUCGCACUUAGGAUGCUGGCGUAAUGGCUUUAAGCGACCC